UGUGCAGAGUAUUUAGAGCCGGAGCGCACACCUCUCCAUUCUCUGGUCAAAGAAGAAAAGUUUCCUUUGCUUCUGAACCAAAUUUCAUCUCGUUAUUUGCACGAAGGAUACCAGGAAGGAGGACCCUUGUUGGGGAUUGACUCAGGAAGGUCGGUGACAAAGAAAGGUUGAAGCCAACCGUCAGAAAGAUGAAGACUCCAGCCAAGAGAUAACGCAGAUCCUUCCAGAGUUGCUGUAGAGCACACUAGUCAACGUCCCUGGAAAGAUGAGAAAAUGAUUGUGAAAAUGCCCUUCUUCAGUAUCUCCCUUCUCUUUCUAGAAAGACUAAGAAGCAAGGCUCAGGGAGAAGGCAGCCAUCUGUAAGGCAGGAAGAGGGCCCUCGCCAGAAACUGAAUUAGCCAGCACCUUGACCUUGGACUUCUCAGCCUCCAGAACUGUGAGAAAUAAAUUUCUGUUGUUUAAGCC